GGGGAUGUGGUUCAGUGGUAGAGUACUUGCCUAACAAGCACAAGACCCUGGGUUCAAUCCCCAACACACACA
rnacentral:tRNA from 1 species